CAGCAGCCACGGGAAUACGUAGGUGGCAAGCGUUGUCCGGAAUUAUUGGGCGUAAAGGGCUCGCAGGCGGUUUCUUAAGUCUGAUGUGAAAGCCCCCGGCUCAACCGGGGAGGGUCAUUGGAAACUGGGAAACUUGAGUGCAGAAGAGGAGAGUGGAAUUCCACGUGUAGCGGCGAAAUGCGUAGAGAUGUGGAGGAACACCAGUGGCGAAGGCGACUCUCUGGUCUGUAACUGACGCUGAGGAGCGAAAGCGUGGGGAGCGAACAGGAUUAGAUACCCCGGUAGUCCCUGUCUCUUAUAC
rnacentral:rRNA from 1 species